rnacentral:rRNA from 1 species
UACGUAGGGUGCAAGCGUUAAUCGGAAUUACUGGGCGUAAAGCGUGCGCAGGCGGUCUGCUAAGACAGGUGUGAAAUCCCCGGGCUUAACCUGGGAACUGCGCUUGUUACUGGCAGGCUGGAGUGUGGCAGAGGGGGGUGGAAUUCCACGUGUAGCAGUGAAAUGCGUAGAGAUGUGGAGGAACACCGAUGGCGAAGGCAGCCCCCUGGGCUAACACUGACGCUCAUGCACGAAAGCGUGGGGAGCAAACAGG